rnacentral:lncRNA from 1 species
AAAACCACUUGCAAAAAAAACCGCGCACAAGCAAAAUGGCAUUUUAAAUUAUUGCUUUGGAACACCCUGCACUGUCUUCAUAGACUUUCUUCCAGGCAGGAAGUGGAUCUGUGACACAAUUGUCCUACCACCCUUCACU